AUGAAAAUAGAAUCGAUUGAUCUGUGUUGCUCCUCCAACUCUUCCUCCUCAGUGCUCGUGAUUCUGUUUUUGUUCCUCUUCUCUGCUGCUUCUGCUUCCACUUACAUUUCAGAUGACAUUUUUGGGUCUGGCGCUUCCACCGGACGUAACCUGCUUCAGGCCAAGAAAGCUUGCCCUGUGAGCUUUGAGUUUCUGAACUACACAAUUUGAGGAUAUCAAAGACGGAUUGGACCAGACCCGACUCGCGAGUGAAUGAUCAGGUUGGAUGGUAGGUCCGAGCCCAAGCAAAAAGGGUAGCGUAAUAAACCCAACACCCACGAACGAAGGAUCGGACCGAACAGUUUAACCCAGCCCAUAACGCAACACUGAAAGUCAGACCCAAAAGGAAGAAAGCCCUUGAAUAAGAGCCCUAUGUAAUAAGUUGGUUAGAGUAUUUGUAAUGGUCUAUAAAUAGACCAUUACGAGUAGAGAAAGGAGAAGAUGAUUUUUUGGAAUUUUCAUUUUGUUGAAGUGUAAGAAUUCUAGAGAGAGAAAGAUGAGUGAAUCUCUUGCAUCUUCAAUUGGCGCCGUCUGUGCGAAAACGUUAAAAGCUAAUUCAUGUUUGAUCAACGUCAUGUUGAUUCCGACUGAUUGAUGAUGACGAAGCUUGAUUUGUAGAAGUUUAGUCUAGAUCUAAGAGAUUGCGGUUGGUUCUUGAGAGAUUCUGGAUUCUUGAUUGAUUCUGAGAGAUUGGUGUUAGGUUUAUGCAGCCGUGAUUCACUCUAUUGCGGCUCGAUCCGACAAGCUCAGACGUCGAAAAAACUCUGAUCUAUCGAAAAGAAAGCAAAACUCGUAAAAUUGGAAUUCAGAUCUGCCGUGAUUCGCGUCAGCGAGACUCCGAUCUAACUUAGAAUUUACGAUUCACGCCUUUGCUCCAUUCUGGAAUGAUGACUGGGGGUAAGCACUCCAAUACGGUAGAGAAUGUCCAGCAUAUGAAACUUGAUGAGUUGAUGAGCAUGAUCGAAGCUCUCAGAAGAGAGAAUGCUGAUUUAAGGACUGAAAUGCAGCGUUAAGAAGU